AUGAACGCUGGCGGCGUGCCUAAUACAUGCAAGUCGAGCGAACAGACGAGGAGCUUGCUCCUCUGACGUUAGCGGCGGACGGGUGAGUAACCCGUGGAUAACCUACCUAUAAGACUGGGAUAACUUCGGGAAACCGGAGCUAAUACCGGAUAAUAUAUUGAACCGCAUGGUUCAAUAGUGAAAGACGGUUUUGCUGUCACUUAUAGAUGGAUCCGCGCCGCAUUAGCUAGUUGGUAAGGUAACGGCUUACCAAGGCAACGAUGCGUAGCCGACCUGAGAGGGUGAUCGGCCACACUGGAACUGAGACACGGUCCAGACUCCUACGGGAUGCAGCAGUAGGGAAUCUUCCGCAAUGGGCGAAAGCCUGACGGAGCAACGCCGCAUGAGUGAUGAAGGUCUUCGGAUCGUAAAACUCUGUUAUUAGGGAAGAACAAAUGUGUAAGUAACUAUGCACGUCUUGACGGUACCUAAUCAGAAAGCCACGGCUAACUACGUG
rnacentral:rRNA from 1 species